rnacentral:rRNA from 1 species
GUUAGGAAUAUUGGACAAUGGGCGAAACCAUGAUCUAGCCAUGCCGCGUGAGCGAUGAAGGCCUUAGGGUUGUAAAGCUCUUUCAGCUGGGAAGAUAAUGACGGUACCAGCAGAAGAAGCCCCGGCUAACUCCGUGCCAGCAGCCGCGGUAAUACGGAGGGGGCUAGCGUUGUUCGGAAUUACUGGGCGUAAAGCGCGCGUAGGCGGACCAGAAAGUUGGAGGUAAAAUCACAGGGCUCAACCUUGGAACUGCCUGCAAAACUCCUGUUCUGGAGUUCGAGAGAGGUGAGUGGAAUUCCGAGUGUAGAGGUGAAAUUCGUAGAUAUUCGGAGGAACACCAGUGGCGAAGGCGGCUCACUGGCUCGAUACGGACGCUGAGGUGCGAAAGCGUGGGGAGCAAACAGGAUUAGAAACCCGAGUAGUCC